GAUGAAGAACGUAGCGAAAUGCGAUACUUGGUGUGAAUUGCAGAAUCCCGUGAACCAUCGAGUCUUUGAACGCAAGUUGCGCCCGAAGCCACUAGGCCGAGGGCACGCCUGCCUGGGCGUCACACGCCGUUGCCCCCCCAUCUACUCCUUCGGGAUUGCGGGGGGGCGGAUGAUGGCCUCCUGUGCGCCUAGCCGCGCGGUUGGCAUAAAUACCAAGUCCUCGGCGACGCACGCCACGACAAUUGGUGGUUGCGAAACCUCGGUUGCCCGUCGUGUGCGUUCGUCGCGCAUCGAGGGCUCGAAAAAAUGCUCGGCUCCGGCUGGGCUUUCAACGCGACCCCAGGUCAGGCGGGGUUACCCGCUGAAUUUAAGCAUAUCAAUAAGCGGAGGA
rnacentral:misc_RNA from 1 species